GGAUUGGAGUCUGCAACUCGACUCCAUGAAGUCGGAAUCGCUAGUAAUCGUGGAUCAGAAUGCCACGGUGAAUACGUUCCCGGGCCUUGUACACACCGCCCGUCACACCAUGGGAGUGGGUUGCAAAAGAAGUAGGUAGCUUAACCUUCGGGAGGGCGCUUACCACUUUGUGAUUCAUGACUGGGGUGAAGUCGUAACAAGGUAACCGUAGGGGAACCUGCGGUUGGAUCACCUCCUUACCUKAAAGAAGC
rnacentral:rRNA from 1 species